AAUCGUAUCCCCAAAUAGAGGGAUGGGAACACAUUUGCUUUCGCAGUAAAACGAAACGGACAGAUUGUGAAGAAGCGGACAAACCUCGCGUUAAUAUUCGAACCAGCCUAGUGCUCGGCGCUUCUGAGAGAGCGAUCAUUUCCCUCUAUUGAGAAUUUUAACCAAGUUUCUGUUGUCUGUAGUUAUUUGAUAUUGGCUGUGGACCCACAAAGUCACACAAGGCUAAAGGAUGCCAGGGACACAGCCCACCACAGGCCAUGCCCAAAGGCCAGAGUCAGAGCACAAUUUUGAAGAUUACAGAAAACUCCAAAGAGAUUGAAGAGAUGGAAUAAAGGAUCCCAGCCCCCGAAAAGAGAAAGCUUUGUGUCUGUAGCCAUAGCCCUUGGCAAUCAGACAUCCUCCUCACUAAUGUGAGGUCAGGAGGGGACUAGAAGUGCUCAGAGGAUGGACUGCCUCUGGCCAGUGCAGGGGAGAGGCAGGGGUGUUGAGGCACAGGAGCCAGAUGAGAGGAACGUCAGCAGCAAAGCAGGUGGACAGCACGGAAGAGGCAGUACAUCUUAACAAAAUCAGGGUUCUGGAUGAAGGGAGGGGUGGUGAAUGGUUGCUGCAAUCAACAGUUCAUACUUCAAUGGAAAGAAGGUGGGAUUUGAUUCCUGGCUGCAAAUCUUCACUCUGUCACCUGCUAUCUGUGUGCCCUCAGGCUCCCAUCAAGGAGUGAUGUCUGUUUCUCC
rnacentral:lncRNA from 1 species